AGCGAACGCUGGCGGCAGGCCUAACACAUGCAAGUCGAACGAACUCUUCGGAGUUAGUGGCGGAUGGGUGAGUAGCAUGUGGGAACGUGCCUUUUGAUUCGGAAUAACUCAGGGAAACUUGUGCUAAUACCGAAUGUGCUACUCGGGGGAAAGAUUGAUCGCAAUUGGAGCGGCCCGCGACCGAUUAGCUGGUUGGUGAGGUAACGGCGCACCACGGCGUCGAUCAGUAGCUGGUCUGAGAGGAUGACCAGCGACACUGGGACUAGGACACGGCCCAGACUCCUACGGGAUGCAGCAGUGGGGAAUCUAGCGCAAUCGGGUGAGUCCUGACGGAGCCAUGCCGGGUGAGUGAUGAAGGUCUUAGGAUAGUAAAGUUCUUUCACCGGGGACGGUAAUGACGGUACCCGGAGAAGAAGCCCCGGCUAACUUCGUG
rnacentral:rRNA from 1 species